rnacentral:rRNA from 1 species
GUCCACGCCGUAAACGAUGGAUGCUAGCCGUUGGGGAGCUUGCUCUUCAGUGGCGCAGCUAACGUAUUAAGCAUCCCGCCUGGGGAGUACGGUCGCAAGAUUAAAACUCAAAGGAAUUGACGGGGGCCCGCACAAGCGGUGGAGCAUGUGGUUUAAUUCGAGGCAACGCGAAGAACCUUACCAGCCCCUUGACAUCCCUGGAACCCUAGCCGAGAGGCAUGGGGGUGCCGCAAGGAGCCAGGAGACAGGUGCUGCAUGGCUGUCGU